UCUUGAGAUAGGGGGGCGCGCAAGUACUAGCUGGGAAAGAGGGGUUGAUUCGGUUCUCCAGGAAGCUAGUCAUACUGAGAGCCUGCAGCGAGUGAUUUUCCAGCGGGACCUUGGAGCGGGGGGAAACAGGGGGCGCUGGAAGGACCGUGCCCAGCGGCACCCAGGCCGGAGACCUAGGCCACUGAGACUUCAGGCGCAGCUCCGUAGCCUGAAAAACGGGGCUUUGGAGCAACAAGGUGCCCAGACGCCCCCAGGCUCCUUGCUCCACUGCAAAGGACAGCCGGGGUCACACUGCCCCAGCUCGGUCCCAGCGCGCCGGCCACCUACGGGGCACGAAGCCGCACGUCUCUGCAAAGCCCCUUUGUCCCUCCUUCCCACUCUUCGGGCUUGGGGGUCACGAUGCCAACACCUAAUGGAUGUGUCAAGAUUUCGUAUCCAGUAUUUAUCUCAUACGUGACAUCUUGACUAUGCCAAUAAAAAAAGAAAAAGAGUCUUUGGAUGAACCUGCCUCCUCCAGCUAGCUUAACUCUUUCCUUCCUGGUACCCUUAAGACCAGAGAGUUGGAGACUUAAUAAAUCCAUCCUCUGAAAAGGACCGUGAAUCCA